rnacentral:tRNA from 1 species
AAAGAAAUAGCUACAAGGGAAGUAUUAUUUUUACAAAAUAGUGAGGCCUGUUCGAUUCAGGUUUUCUUUA